rnacentral:misc_RNA from 1 species
UACGGAGGGUGCAAGCGUUAAUCGGAAUUACUGGGCGUAAAGCGCGCGUAGGUGGUUUGAUAAGCGAGAUGUGAAAGCCCCGGGCUCAACCUGGAAACGGCAUUUCGAACUGUCAGGCUAGAGUGUGGUAGAGGGGUGCGGAAUUUCCUGUGUAGCGGUGAAAUGCGUAGAUUUAGGAAGGAACACCAGUGGCGAAGGCGGCACCCUGGACCAACACUGACACUGAGGUGCGAAAGCGUGGGGAGCAAACAGG